ACACAGGGAAGGAGGUGGUCUGCGAAAUUGAUAGCUUCUAGGACAUGUGAGGUGGCUGCCAGCUAGCAGCACCAGGUGCGGUGGAUUCACCUGCGUCCUGCGCGCGCUGGCGAAUUCCCGGCAGCUACCCGGCCCCCGAGCUCUGGUUUGUCCAACCAGGUGAACGGCUCGGGGGCCGCCCCAU
rnacentral:sRNA from 1 species